AGUCAUAUGCUUGUCUCAAAGACUAAGCCAUGCAUGUCUAAGUAUAAGCAAUUAUACAGCGAAACUGCGAAUGGCUCAUUAAAACAGUUAUAGUUUAUUUGGUAACUCAAAUUACAUGGAUAACCGUGGAAAUUCUAGAGCUAAUACAUGCAUAAAGGGCACACCGCUCGUAUUUAUUAGAUAACAGACCUCAUUAAAGGUGACUCAUAGUAACUGAUCGAAUCGCCGGCAUCUCGCUGCGAUAAAUCAUUCAAGUUUCUGCCCCAUUAGCUGUAGAUGGUAGUGUAUUGGACUACCAUGGCUUUCACGGGUAACGGAGGAUUAGGGUUCGAUUCCGGAGAGGGAGCCUGAGAAACGGCUACCACAUCUAAGGAAGGCAGCAGGCGCGUAAAUUACCCAAUACUGAUUCAGUGAGGUAGUGACAAGAAAUACCAAUACGAGGCAUCUACGUCUAGUAAUUGGCAUGAGUGAGAUUUACAACGCUUCACGAGUAUCAAU
rnacentral:rRNA from 1 species